AUGAGUAAUAAUAAAUAAUUCUGUCAAACAUUGAUUGCAGGUUUUGCUCUUCUGAGAUAUGGACAGACCAGGUGGUCAUUCCUACCAGGGAGAAGUGAGGCUCAGUGGCGUGGCUGUCCUGGGCAAGGAGAUAAGAAAUACCAGUCUCCAAACAUCCAUGUGUACAUUAAGUGGUGUGGAUUUUGCUUUCAGAGAGAAAACAAACAAACAAACAAACAAACAACAAAACUUGUGGAUGGCCUUACUUGUCAUGGGGAGAGUGUCAAAAGCAGACACAAGACAAAGCAACAUGGACUUGCCAGCUGCUCAAUCCAUUGAGGACUCCAAUGACAAAAUGCUGUUAUUUCAAGGGAAAAAAACACAACCAAAAAAAGCCAUUUCAAAUAGUUCAGCUAGUUGCCAAUCUGAAUCAAGUCAGCAGAACAUCACAGACAUGGAGAUGAGAGAAAUGCAGCUGAGUUGAACGUUGAGGGUGUGAAAACUUCAGGAAGUCUCUAGAAGAUCUGAGAUACCUACAGAAAGGACACAAGCAAAACUCAUCACUGCUGCCAAGAGGUAAGGAACUCCCCUCAUAAUGGAGAAAUUGAUGGAUCUGGUUUCCCUCCAGGUGAAAGAAAGGCAGCUGAUCUGAUCUCCUAGGAAUUGAUGACUAUAAGCAGUCAUAUUACUGAAGAACAAAAAACGCAUGUUGCCAGACCUGCAAAAAGUUGCCUUCCUUGACUAGAAUGGGAAGACAAACACUUAUCACCUUCAAGUUUCAAACCCACAAUAUAGCAGAUCAUCACUGACAAGGAGGAGAAGAGUUACAGAUGCUCAGGAUUUGAGUAGAAAGGAAUAGGAAUGGAGCUGAACAGAUCCAACACCUGAAAGGACGAUUGGAUCUCACAAGGACGAAACCAUGAAAAAGACCCUUCAUUCAAUAAAGCAACAGAAUUGGCUCUGAGGAGAGGUAAGAAACAUUUGGGAAGUC